rnacentral:snRNA from 1 species
AUGCUCGCUUCGGCAGCACGUAUCCUAAAACUGGAACGAUACAGAGAAGAUGAGCAUGGCCCCUGCACAAGGAUGACAUGCAAAUUCGUGAACUGUUCCAUAUUUUA